AUCUGCAAAAGGAAGAGUAUAUAAUGCAGAUUACCCUAUUCACUAUGAUACAGAAAUGAUCGCCCAGCAGAGCACCAGGCGGUGGCAGAGCGUUCAGAUGUGAUGUAUGAAGAGUCCUUUCUGGCAGAGCUUUGGGCACAAACAUUCGAAUGGAUUCCUUGAUGAUUGCACCGCGACUCCCCAUUUUCCAAUAAUCUACACUAUACUCUGGGCAUUGACAAAGAUGUCCCAGUUCAGGAAUCAUUACCAACCUCUGUCCUAUGUGAUACCGGCUGGGACUAUCCUGCUAACCCACCUGGUUAUACCGCAUCCCUCUGCUCAGAGACCCCCAAAGUACCGAAGCUGAUCCAGUUUACCGGAUGCAGCCGCAGCUCCCACGUCCACUACAGAGCGGCCGUCUGCACUAAGAGAUUGCAAACCCAGUGGAGCAGCCGCUAGGCAUUAAUCCCGGUUUAUUUUCUGUGACUUCAGUAAAGUCAGCCCUGAUCUCCAGCCCAAGAUGUCCGUGUGCUCCAUACCUUCUGUCCUGCAUGAUGACUCUGUGGACUUCACAAGUCGUUCAAUCCUCUGUCUAUCCGAUGCCAUUCUCCGUCUGUAACAUUCACCUGCUCUGGAAAGCCGAGCCUCAGCGUGGUCAGGUCUUGUCUGAAGAUGAGAAGGAGCCGGCCGCUCGUAAUCUCUUUAGGAAUGGAAACAAAACCACAUUAACAGCAGUGCGGCUGGACCCGGAGCAGA